CUGCUCCAACGUGAGUGCGCUUAUGAAACGGGUUCCUUCCUCUCCCCUGGGAUGCAGCCACCAGGACACCAAGACCUCUGCUCGGAGACAGAGACUCAUAGGGGCGUGUUGGUAGCUGAAGCCUGGAGGAGAACUCAAGAAAACCCUUGCAAAAUGAGGAGAAAGAAUUUCAAUCCUGGAGGCUGAAAUCAGGGGACAGAGAAAACGGCAGGAGAGAUGGAGAAUUGAAAUGCAGGAAGGCCAUUUUUAAUGUGUUUACAGAAACACGGUGAAAAGAAGUCAGCGAAGAAGGGCACUGGUGUUGGCCGG
rnacentral:lncRNA from 1 species